AUGCACAUUUAUGAGGAAUCCUUGAUGGUAGAGUCCUGGUGGUCCUCAGGAUUUGCCUUCCAGAUGUAUGGCUUCUCCAUCAGUCCUCCAGAAUCCUGAGGAUCCUGGUUGGUGGAGUGAUGUCGUCCUCCAGAGUCUUGGCUCCUCCAUCAGCUCUCCUCAGCCAGAGUCCUGGUCUGGAACAAACAGCGCGAGUCUGGCCCUAAAUCCUUGUUGGUAGAGUGAUGGUCAUCCUCCAGAUUCACGGCUCCCCUACCAGCUCGCCUCCGCUCCAGAAACACGUUCUAUGUUUCAGAUGAGCUUGGUGAUGGUUACCCUCUGGUCCGGUGCUGCAGGCCCCUGGACUCCAGCCUCAGUCUCCGGUCCAUCCUGGCACCACAAGACGGUCCCCAGCCUCUCAGCCUCGCCUUUCAGCUGCAG